GAUCAUGGCUCAGGAUGAACGCUAGCUACAGGCUUAACACAUGCAAGUCGAGGGGCAGCGGGAUUGAAGCUUGCUUCAAUUGCCGGCGACCGGCGCACGGGUGAGUAACGCGUAUCCAACCUUCCGUACACUCAGGGAUAGCCUUUCGAAGAAAGAUUAAUACCUGAUGGUAUCUUAAGCACACAUGUAAUUAAGAUUAAGAUUAUCGGUGUACGAUGGGAUGCGGUUCCAUUAGGUUAG
rnacentral:rRNA from 1 species